rnacentral:rRNA from 1 species
ACGGAAGGCAGCAGUGGGGAAUAUUGGGCAAUGGGCGAAAGCCUGACCCGGCCACGCCGCGUGAAGGAAGAAGGUCUUCGGAUUGUAAACUUCUUUUAUGAGGGACGAAGGACGUGACGGUACCUCAUGAAUAAGCCACGGCUAACUACGUGCCAGCAGCCGCGGUAAUACGUAGGUGGCAAGCGUUAUCCGGAUUUACUGGGUGUAAAGGGCGCGUAGGCGGGGAUGCAAGUCAGGUGUGAAAUCUAUGGGCUUAACCCAUAAACUGCAUUUGAAACUGUAUCUCUUGAGUGUCGGAGAGGUAGAUGGAAUUCCUAGUGUAGCGGUGAAAUGCGUAGAUAUUAGGAGGAACACCAGUGGCGAAGGCGAUCUACUGGACGAUAACUGACGCUGAGGCGCGAAAGCGUGGGGAGCAAACAGGAUUAGAUACCCUGGUA